UACGUAAGGGGCGAGCGUUGUCCGGAAUUAUUGGGCGUAAAGGGAGCGUAGGCGGUCUUGUAAGCAAGGGGUGAAAACGCAGGGCUCAACUCUGCGCCUGCCUCUUGAACUACAGGACUUGAGGGCGUUAGAGGGCAGUGGAAUUCCGGGUGUAGCGGUGAAAUGCGUAGAUAUCCGGAGGAACACCAGUGGCGAAGGCGACUGCCUGGGACGCACCUGACGCUGAGGCUCGAAAGCUGGGGGAGCAAACAGG
rnacentral:misc_RNA from 1 species